CACUUCCCACACAUGUACAGAGCUGUCCUGAGUCAGUGGGCCCAAAAGUCCCUCUUACUGUAAAGCAACUCCUGGAAUUCCCUGACAGGCUUCCCAAAGCCUGCAGAGAAUCCAAACAACAGCACAUUUUGGGAAGUAAAGAAACCAAACAAAAGGAAACAAAACUAACUCAGUUUAAAAUCCAGGAUGUGCUUUUGCUACACAAGGAUGCAGUGCCUAAUUGCGCUUGGAUGCUCAUCAGGGGACUCAGAAACACAUAAACCAAAAUCUAAGUGUAUUCAUUCUUGGAAACUGUCAGCAUUUCACCCUUUCAUCCUUGGUUAAGACACAAAAUUCUGCAAUAACAAAUUAUUCUCUCUUCUCCAUAGCUACCUCAAGCAUUUUCUAUAGUUCUGUAAGAAUUUCCUAAUCUAAUGUGGUUUUCUUUGACCUUGCUCCUGUCUUUAUCUCUCUCAUGAUACUUUUUAUUUUUUCUUUGCCCACACAUCUGCACAAACACAGCUUAUCACCAAAUUUCUGGUUUGGAUGCAGUUUAUACCAUGGACUGCAGCUGGCUUUUAAUGCUCUGUUCAACAACUACUUGUCCUGAUAAUUAGCAUACAAAAUAGAAAACAAAGAAUUACAUACUUACAUAAACAGCAUACAAUUUAAAAUGCUAUAUUUUUUCCUAACAUUGUUACGAAAUUGAGGGAAUUUUCAGCAGCUGCAAUACUAUUUCAAAAUUAAUUGGCUAAUACCUCUAAAAAAAUUGAAGUAGCACUUUAUGUUAGAGUGUUCUAAAAUAUUAUCUCUCAGACCCUGCAAUGUACUUUCAUCAAACACUUCUGCAAAAAGCCCUGUGCUUCAAGGAUGACCUGCAUCUCACCUCAAAGGAAGAGCCAGCACUGAGACAUGUAAAUGUAGUAAUGGACUAAGAUCAUCUGAUAACAAGCAUCAGCUACAUUCAGCAACCCAGCAGGAGUGCCAAGUGCCAGAUAUUCUCAGAGGUGUUUUUUCCUUCUCCCUUUGAGAAUGACCUGUGCUGAAUAGUCAGUAUGAGCUAAAGCCAUCAACCAAACUUCACCGAAGAGGAGAAUGGAAAGAACAAUCAGGAGGAUGGGCCCAUGUUGGUACCAGUGGAAGCUUCUCCACACAAUGCGAUCCCCAACACCAGCGUGCUACGCUGCCUGCUGUAAAACCAUCGACUUCACAUUGCCAAGACAGGACAGUUUAAAAAAAGAAACAUAACCCUGUGAACAGCAGCAAAGAAAACAUCAGCAGGAGGGGAAGGGCAAUCAAACAAAGGUGAACCAAGAUUUGGAUUUUUCCAUUGUGACAGUUUCACUUGAGCCUUACAACUUGAGGCCAUAAAUUGCAAAGAUCUGGGAAGUGUGGUGCAGCACCAGACAUGUGGCAGGUGGUUUUGAGUACAGCUGUUGGAAUCACAGAAUAGACUGAGUUGGAAGGGAGACACAAGGACCACCCAGACCAAUUCCUAUUCCAUCAUUCAGUACUGAAGCUGGAGGCCCUUGGGACAGAAUUCUGCCUAGACCUCGCAGAAUCCAGGGAUUGCAUCUAGAUCAUUAGAGAGCAAAUGGUUUCCAACGGAUUGAAGUCAAAGGUGUUUCCAUGCUUCCAUGAAUGGUGUUACAGAGAAUGCUGAGCUGAGAAUGGACUUGGAUGGCUGAGGCCAAACACUGCAGGAUUUAUCAAAACCUUGGUAAACCCAGGCUGCUCCUUUUUCUCUGAUGUUUCAAACCUGACUGUUGUAGGGAUAAGAAAUCAGAAACCUCAGAGCUAAUUAGUACAUUUUCUUAGCUCCCAUUGAUUUGAAAUACCAGCACAGCUUUACACUUCAAUAGACCUCAACAGUUCUCCAAGCACUUUAAAAUCUUUGAGUUUACUUUUUUUUCCCCCUUUAUUUCAUCCCUUUUGAUGUAUGAAGUGCUUUAGAAAAAAGAUUAUGGAUUGAAAGUCUGAGUUCUGCUAUAUAUCUAUGUUUAUUAAAGAUUUUUUUAAAAAUAAAAAAGUUUUAUCCCAUCUAAUCAUCUGAAAUAGCAUUGUAAUGUAAUAUUUUUGAAAAUACAUUUAAUUUCUGACAGAAGUGAGUAAUAUUUAUGGUCACAAUUGUCUUCACCAAAAUAUGAAUAUUUAGUUCACUGUUAUUCAGUUCUGCCUUUUCUACAAAAUUGUUUAAACAGGAAGAAAAAAAUAAGGCAGAAUGAACAUGAAAUCAGCCAGCAUGUUUCAUUUUGCUGUUUCUAAAUGGGAUGCUAUCAUGACAAGCUAAAGUGUUUUGAAAUGCAUUUUUAAAGGAUUAAGAAAAAUUAAAAGCUCUGAAAUGUCAGAACACUCAGCCCUGAUCUGGCAUUUUGUAU